UAGGAGAGGUGGUGCGCCUGCGUGAAGGAGGCUGAGGCAGUAAGGCGGAGGCGGGACCUAAGGGGGCGCACUCGACUAAUUCCCAGCCUCCCAUGCAGUCGCGUUGGACCACAAGAUGGAGUUCUGGCCAAUGGAAUGUGGGCAGACGGGAUGGGCACACCCCCAGGCCCGCCUUCCUCUCCAACGCCUUGUCAGCCCAGCUGAGAGUGACAGUGGAAUCAGAACAAGGCAGGUCCCUGAAUUCCUCCCUGUGCCUCACAUUCACGGAGCCCAGUUCCUCCGGCAAUCCCUGUGCAAUGAUGAGAGUGG